rfam:Dipodomys ordii contig_61147, whole genome shotgun sequence.
GGGACUGUGGCUUAGUGAUAGAGUGCUUGCCUAACAUGCUUGAAGCCCUGGGUUCAAUUCCUCAGUACCA